rnacentral:rRNA from 1 species
GUCUAGCAAUAGAUGAGACCGGCGCACGGGUGCGUAACGCGUAUGCAAUCUACCUUUUACAGAGGGAUAGCCCAGAGAAAUUUGGAUUAAUACCUCAUAGUGUAUUUAAGUGGCAUCACUUGAUUACUAAAGUCACAACGGUAAAAGAUGAGCAUGCGUCCCAUUAGCUUGUUGGUAAGGUAACGGCUUACCAAGGCUACGAUGGGUAGGGGUCCUGAGAGGGAGAUCCCCCACACUGGUACUGAGACACGGACCAGACUCCUACGGGAGGCAGCAGUGAGGAAUAUUGGACAAUGGGCGCAAGCCUGAUCCAGCCAUGCCGCGUGCAGGAAGAAGCAUCUAUGGU